rnacentral:rRNA from 1 species
UACAGAGGGGGCAAGCGUUGUUCGGAAUUACUGGGCGUAAAGGGCACGUAGGCGCCUUCUAAGUCGAACGUGAAAUCCCCGGGCUCAACCCGGGAACUGCGUCCGAUACUGGAAGGCUUGAAUCCGGGAGAGGGAUGCGGAAUUCCUGGUGUAGCGGUGAAAUGCGCAGAUAUCAGGAGGAACACCGGUGGCGAAGGCGGGUCUCUGGGCCGUAACUGACGCUGAGGAGCGAAAGCAUGGGGAGCGAACAGG